rnacentral:rRNA from 1 species
AGAGUUUGAUCCUGGCUCAGGAUGAACGCUGGCGGCGUGCCUAACACAUGCAAGUCGAACGAAGCAAUUAAAAUGAAGUUUUCGGAUGGAUUUUUAAUUGACUGAGUGGCGGACGGGUGAGUAACGCGUGGAUAACCUGCCUCACACUGGGGGAUAACAGUUAGAAAUGACUGCUAAUACCGCAUAAGCGCACAGUACCGCAUGGUACAGUGUGAAAAACUCCGGUGGUGUGAGAUGGAUCCGCGUCUGAUUAGCCAGUUGGCGGGGUAACGGCCCACCAAAGCGACGAUCAGUAGCCGACCUGAGAGGGUGACCGGCCACAUUGGGACUGAGACACGGCCCAAACUCCUACGGGAGGCAGCAGUGGGGAAUAUUGCACAAUGGGCGAAAGCCUGAUGCAGCGACGCCGCGUGAGUGAAGAAGUAUUUCGGUAUGUAAAGCUCUAUCAGCAGGGAAGAAAAUGACGGUACCUGACUAAGAAGCCCCGGCUAACUACGUGCCAGCAGCCGCGGUAAUACGUAGGGGGCAAGCGUUAUCCGGAUUUACUGGGUGUAAAGGGAGCGUAGACGGCGAAGCAAGUCUGAAGUGAAAACCCGGGGCUCAACCCUGGGACUGCUUUGGAAACUGUUUUGCUAGAGUGUCGGAGAGGUAAGUGGAAUUCCUAGUGUAGCGGUGAAAUGCGUAGAUAUUAGGAGGAACACCAGUGGCGAAGGCGGCUUACUGGACGAUAACUGACGUUGAGGCUCGAAAGCGUGGGGAGCAAACAGGAUUAGAUACCCUGGUAGUCCACGCCGUAAACG